CGCUAUCAUCCUACGGGAGGCAGCAGUGGGGAAUAUUGCACAAUGGGCGCAAGCCUGAUGCAGCCAUGCCGCGUGUGUGAAGAAGGCCUUCGGGUUGUAAAGCACUUUCAGUCGUGAGGAAGGUAGUGUAGUUAAUAGCUGCAUUAUUUGACGUUAGCGACAGAAGAAGCACCGGCUAACUCCGUGCCAGCAGCCGCGGUAAUACGGAGGGUGCGAGCGUUAAUCGGAAUUACUGGGCGUAAAGCGCAUGCAGGUGGUUUGUUAAGUCAGAUGUGAAAGCCCGGGGCUCAACCUCGGAAUUGCAUUUGAAACUGGCAGACUAGAGUACUGUAGAGGGGGUAGAAUUUCAGGUGUAGCGGUGAAAUGCGUAGAGAUCUGAAGGAAUACCGGUGGCGAAGGCGGCCCCCUGGACAGAUACUGACACUCAGAUGCGAAAGCGUGGGGAGCAAACAGGAUUAGAUACCCUGGUAG
rnacentral:rRNA from 1 species